rnacentral:lncRNA from 1 species
UUCAUGGUGCUUGUUCCUGGUUUUAAUAGAUACUUUUUUAUAGCAGAAGAGUCAGACUGAACAGAUCACAGGUGUGAUCUCUGCCACUGUCAGACUGUUGAUGAGGCUUGGUGAAGGGAAAAUGUUCCAAAGCAUGAGCAACACUGUAGUUUUGUUCUUGUUGACUAGGAAGAAGUAAGGUAAAACAGCUCACAGAUACCUGUUCACAACUUUGUUCCCUAAGGGGGUUAACUGAACUAGGCAGCUCCUGCUGGUCCAGGGUUACAGAUG